GACAGUUCUAAAUCGAUUUUCAUUAUUGUUGAUACUACAGGACUUGAAUCACAUAAAAUAACCUCAAAUACAACAAUAAACAAAUGCUCCAUUGUUUUCCGCACUACUGUGUACUAUAUUGUUUUUUGUAUAUUUUGUAACGAGAGAGAAUAUAGUAUAAUGUCGGCAACUUAAUAGUGGGACAUUCCUUUCCGUUUAAACUGUAUAACAUAUAAGUUUAAUGUAUAUAAUAUAUAGACAAGGGAUAGUUUAGGAACCACACUCGCCGCUACUCGCUAGAUCUGUCUCUGUUCAAAGUAGCAGGUUCCUUUUGAUAGAAAACUAGUUCCAAAAAACUGUCCAAAAUGAUCACGUUCAACAUGAAAAUAAAAAUCUCUUUUAACCACAAAAAAAUACUUCUACCUAACAAACUAGUUUCCAGGAUAAUUAUUUUCUGGGAAGAAGUAUGAAACUUGUAUACUCUGAAACAUGGAAAAAGUUUUAAUAUUUCCAACAUGAUGAAAUGCUUGUUAGAAUCAGUGGAGUCCUUGAAGUAUACUUAAGAAGAGAUAAAGGUUAUAAUAGAGACUAAAGGGAAAGAGUAGAAACUAGACCAUAACAACGCCCUUGUAAACAAGCCCAAUGGAGGAUUAAUUGGUACGAGUCCGACACUACCCUAUAAUGAACAGAUGUCGAUGAGGAUUUUCCCUCCUACAAAAAUAAGGGUACAAUUUUAUGUAUAUAUUUUUCUAAAAUUGAAAACUAAGGAAAGUAUAACGCAAAGGUUACAUUGAAUUGAUAGUUAUUUGGUAUUAGGAUAAUUUUAUGUUCCCAUUUACCCGAUCUAUUAUAAAUAUAUAGUUAUCUAUAUUUUAAAGGGUAAAUAAGGGUUAUUUAAUCACAUUAAGGUAUGAAAAUUUGUCCUUUUCAAAUAAUUCUUUUUGUAUAGACUCAAAGGUAUACGGAUUAGAACCAAUUAAGACAAAAAAGUAAUAACCUUUGGAGAAGAAUAGUGAAAGCAGUAGAGGAACAAUGAAAGAAAAAUAAGUUAUUAGCUUUUAAAGCCAGCUUGAUAUCCUGUGUAUUUUUCAUAUUAAGAUGUUGUGUUUAAUGUUUCCAGAUUUCUGGCUGACAUAUUUCCGUUGCAUUUCAUUUUAUCAACAUAUAAAGAAAACACUUUAUUUUUUAUUAAAAUAUUUAUUAUAAUUAUUACAAACAUAAAAAUACAUAUCACCAGUGCAGUAUAUUUAUUAAAUAUGCAGUUAAUUAUUAAACAAGCAAUAAAUAUAAUCAAAUUAUUUUUCAUCAUUAUCAUUAUACACUGGGAAAAUAUUCAUUUGAAAAAUUCAUAAAAUAAGUUGCCAUAUAUUCAAGACAAUAUGAAUCAAAAAUAGAGAUAACUUAUUAUUUUUACAUGUUUUUAAAUAGCAAUAUUCAUUAGUAUAAAUAUCAAAGCUGACAACGAGAUUAUAAGAGAAAUUAUUGUGUUCCAAUAAUAAUGUUUCUCUGAUUAAACUUUAUCUAUCUGUCUAUCCAUUCAUAAACUUUUACAAUAAAAAAGCUUCUGAAAUAUAAGAUACAGUUAGCAGU